CCUACGGGAGGCAGCAGCAAGGAAUAUUAGACAAUGGGCGAAAGCCUGAUCUAGCAACGCCGCGUGGGCGAUGAAGGCCUUCGGGUUGUAAAGCCCUUUUCUGCGGGAAGAGCGAAGGACGGUACCGCAGGAAUAAGUCUCGGCUAACUACGUGCCAGCAGCAGCGGUAAUACGUAGGAGACGAGCGUUAUCCGGAUUUACUGGGUGUAAAGCGCAUGUAGGCGGGUUCCCAAGUCGAGCAUGAAAUCUCCCGGCUCAACCGGGAGGAGCGGUUCGAUACUAGGAGCCUUGAGGGCAGGAGAGGGAAGCAGAAUUCCCGGUGUAGUGGUGGAAUACGUAGAUAUCGGGAGGAAUACCAGUGGCGAAAGCGGCUUCCUGGCCUGUUUCUAACGCUAAGAUGCGAAAGCGUGGGGAGCGAACGGGAUUAGAUACCCUAGUAGUC
rnacentral:rRNA from 1 species